rnacentral:lncRNA from 1 species
AGCCAGUCUCCAGCAGGGCUGUGCAAAACCCAUCCAUGCCUGGGAGAGCGUGCCCAUGCAAUCGCACCCUGGGAACCGGUUCACCAGCUCUGCAAGCAGGGGCCUGUCUGGUGAGGGAGUCUGUCUCAGCUCUUGAGGAGCCAUGUGUCUUUAAAACACCCCGAGGAUGACAGAUUUGGGGGCAGCUUUUGGAAAUGAGGAGCCAGCUGAGGCUGGGGAUGCUCAGCAGGCAUCCAUGAGGAUUUGGUUCAGCUUUUCAAGGGGACUCAUGACAGGGUAAGUCUGGAAGCUGGUGCUCACUAAGCUCUUUAGAGGUGUGGGCCCUGCUUCAUCCCAAGGUGCUUAGGGGUGCUUGGAAGUCUGUCCUGAUAAACGCCCCAGCAGCCUAGUGAGCCUGCUGCUUCUCCCAGCAGCCCAAGUAAAGAGCAUUUCUGACAACAAAAGCCCUGCCCAGGGGUCCCAGUUUUAAACACAGCGCUGGCAUCCGAUUGCUGGUGCAUCUCGGCAUCUUCUCAUCACCGAGAAACGUCUCCUUUGCCCCCCUCCCCUUGUCUUUGCUCUUGCUCGCAGAAAGCCGUGACUGUAUCCUGCAAGCGCCCCUAUCUGCUGCUGCGAUCUCCCUUUGUUUGGCUGCCAGCUCUCCGCACCUGCGUGCAUGCCGGCUCUCCCUCCCCGCUGCGGGUUGCUGGGACAGGAUAAUUUGGAGGCAAUGACCUGCCUUGCCCUUUUCCAAGAUUGCGCUCCAGAUUACCACCAGACUCUACAUCAGCAUCACCAAGUCCCUUUAAGUGAUGGCAAGAAGCAGAUGAGGCUCCUGGCCAGCAUGGGCUCCAAGUAUUCACCACAGCCACUCAGGGAAAGGAAACAAGCUGGAUGGACCCACUUGGGCAUUCCCUGUCCAGGAGGAACCAUGACAGACAGACCACCAGCCCAGAGAAGCCUCUAGAGACCUUGCUUGAAUGGAAGGAGGAGGUGCUCUGCUACCGUUUCAUCUCUUAAAGAGAAGCAGGGACUGAGUCAUUAAAAUCUUAUCUAUGUCAUCCUCAUUUGCUUGAACUUUUGUAGCUUCUUCUCCUACCCAAAGAGAAGAGCGAGGACUGGAGCAGCUGUGGGAGUCCCUGGCCACAGCAUACAAAGCCCACUUGUUAUCAGCACUGUCAUAUGCCUCUCUGCUCCCUCCCCCUUCCCAGCUCCACCACAACCGCUGCAUCCCAACAGCACAAGCCGGGCAUCCAUCAAAAGGGCUAUUAUCCCACGAUUUCUUAACAGCCACUGUUGCUCUUGGAUAUGGAGAACCAAGCUCCCCCUUUGACACAGUGCCCCGAGCUAAGGAAUAGUGGUGCCUGUCGCUGGCUGGCAUUCUGAUCUGCAGAUUGUCAUGGAAGCCAGGGUGGGAUGGGGAGCUGCUGCCUGUACACGGGGUUGGGUUAGCAAUUUAGGCCUUCCCUCCAGCCCUGCAAGGUAGACAGGUCCUACAGAGUUCAUGCUUUUGGCCUCCAGAUGUUAGCAGUGAGGGUAACUCCCAUGGAGGGUGGCUAAGAGACCACAUCCUUCAUUCUUUACGGCUCAUGCUUUUAAUCUGCUCUUCCUGGACUGGGGGAGAAAAAGGGCACAGAAACAGUCACCAACCUCUGGAGUAGGCAAAGGGUCUGUGGUGCAUGGAGAGGCAGCUUCCAGAGAUGCGCACAUUGACUCAGGCAACCUCUGACUGGCUCCGGGCACUGACAUCCCCAGAGCCUGCUGGAGGGGGCCCCUUCGCCCUUUUGCCCCACAGGCAGUAGGUGCUGGCACUGCUUGCCCCUGCCUCCAUCACAGGUGCCUUCUUCUUGCUGCAUAUGAACAGGCAAAUUGGUGACAGCACAGACAGUGCCAGCUCUUCCACACACACAAGAUCUACCAGCUGUGACACCACGGGCGAGGCUGGAGUCCUGGCAGGGAUGGGCAGA